rnacentral:tRNA from 1 species
GGGCCGUUAGCUCAGUUGGUAGAGCAUCUGACUCUUAAUCAGAGGGUCGCAGGUUCGAGACCUGCACGGCCCAUCA